rnacentral:rRNA from 1 species
CCUACGGGAGGCAGCAGUGGGGAAUAUUGCGCAAUGGGCGAAAGCCUGACGCAGCGACGCCGCGUGAGGGAUGAAGGUCUUCGGAUCGUAAACCUCUGUCAGCAGGGAAGAACGGUCACUGUGCUAAUCAGCAGUGAAUUGACGGUACCUGCAAAGGAAGCACCGGCUAACUCCGUGCCAGCAGCCGCGGUAAUACGGAGGGUGCGAGCGUUAAUCGGAAUUACUGGGCGUAAAGCGCUCGUAGGCGGUAUGUCAAGUCAAGGGGGAAAUCCCCGGGCUCAACGUGGGAACUGCCUUUGAAACUGGCAAACUGGAGUGUGUGAGAGGAUAGUGGAAUUCCAGGUGUAGGAGUGAAAUCCGUAGAUAUCUGGAGGAACAUCAGUGGCGAAGGCGACUAUCUGGCACAUAACUGACGCUGAGGAGCGAAAGCGUGGGUAGCAAACAGGAUUAGAUACCCGGGUAGUC